rnacentral:tRNA from 1 species
UAUAAGAUAGGAUAAAUUAGUCCUUAAGGUUCAUACCCUUGAAGUGUUUUUGCUCUUAUAA